rnacentral:rRNA from 1 species
CCUACGGGAGACAGCAGUGAGGAAUAUUGGUCAAUGGGCGGAAGCCUGAACCAGCCAAGUAGCGUGCAGGAUGACGGCCCUACGGGUUGUAAACUGCUUUUAUACGGGAAUAACGCGCCUUACGUGUAGGGCUUUGCAUGUACCGUCUGAAUAAGGACCGGCUCAUUCCGUGCCCGGAGCCGCGGUAAUACGGAAGGUCCGGGCGUUUGCCGGAGUUAUUGGGGUGAAAGGGGGCGUAGGCCGCAUGUCAAGCGUGCUGUGAAAUGUCCGGGCGCAACCCGGGCCUUGCAGCGCGAACUGGCGUGCUUGAGUCCGCUGAAGGCAGGCGGAAUUCGUCGUGUAGCGGUGAAAUGCUUAGAUAUGACGAAGAACCCCGAUUGCGAAGGCAGCUUGCUGCAGCGGAACUGACGCUGAUGCUCGAAAGCGCGGGUAUCGAACAGGAUUAGAUACCCUUGUAGUC